CCCUUGUCCUUAGUUACCAGCACGUUAUGGUGGGCACUCUAAGGAGACUGCCGGUGGACAAACCGGAGGAAGGUGGGGAUGACGUCAAGUCAUCAUGGCCCUUACGGCCUGGGCUACACACGUGCUACAAUGGUCGGUACAAAGGGUUGCCAAGCCGCGAGGUGGAGCUAAUCCCAUAAAACCGAUCGUAGUCCGGAUCGCAGUCUGCAACUCGACUGCGUGAAGUCGGAAUCGCUAGUAAUCGUGAAUCAGAAUGUCACGGUGAAUACGUUCCCGGGCCUU
rnacentral:rRNA from 1 species